AUCAGAGCCUACGGGAUAGGUCAUUGGCACUACCCUCGUUCAGCUCCACCAGGUCAGGAAUGAUCAUUGGACUUGCUGGUCUUAGACCUGUCCUCUGGAGCGGCCCAGGGUACAUCUAAUCCCUGGAAGUAUUUUAAGAGUGUGAUCCUAUCCCUCUCCCUAUGUACUUUUUAAAGGAUGGAUAUAAAUGUUUGCAUCUGCGGAGAGCUUGUCUGCCUUGUGCCCAGCCCAGAGAGCAUUUUCCUGGGAUGUUCUAUUUUCAUCUGUGGUUCUGUUUAGCAACACCGUCAUACCCUGAGCUUGUGGUCAACCAGGUCGCGCCACCCCUCUCCCCCUCUCACAUGAACCUGCUGGUGAAAAGGAUUCAGUCCAGACUGUGUAAUGGCCCCAGAAAGUCUGCUUCUGACUUCUUCCUCCUUUGUUUAUAGCAGGAGGCUUUUGUCCUCAUUGUGACAAAACGGCUGCUCUACCUCCUGCAUCACAUCCAUGCUUAGGAAGGAAGAAGGGGAGAGAGUGAAGAACUACACUGUUUUUUCCUGGUGCUUCAUCCAAUAAAAUUUCAACCCCAUGGUUUGCGGGUUACAUUGGAUUACCCCACCCCAAGCCCCAGGAAACUCUCCCAUGCCGGCGCACAGGAGCCGAGGCUAGGGCUCUCGGGCAAGCUGCCAGCAAACUCGGCUCCAGGCUCCGUGAGCGCAGCCAGGACUCCCAUAGUAAGCGCCCUUUGGAAGCUAGGCUGCGUCUUCCGGUGUCUGCAAGGCAAAGAACGCUGACAAAGACAAACUCCGUGAACCUGAACCUGCGGCCCCAGGAAGGAGACGAGAUGUGCUGUGAUGCUGAUGCGAGGCGGAGCAAGGACCACCAGCGAGGGUGGAUCCGCGGGCCUGGGACGGGCUGUUCCAGCGAGCGAAACACUGUUUCCAUCCGCUCUGCUGUGGCCUGGGAAAGCAGUAGAGGAUGGCCCAAGUGCUUGGGCUCCUGCACCCAUGUGGGAGACCCAGAAGAAGCUCCUGGCUCCUGGCUCCUGAUCAGCGCAGCUCCAGCUGUUGUGGCCAUCUGGGGAGUGAACCAGCGGAUGGAAGACCUCUCUCUCUCUCUGUCUCUACCUCUCUCUGUAACUCUGUCUUUCAAAUAAAUAAAAUAAAUCUUAAAA